CGCGUAAGAAUCUACCUCUUGGAGGGGACAACAUUGGAAACCGUUGCUAAUACCCCAUAUCGCUGAGGAGCGAAACAUUGAAAGAUGGCCAGGAGAGGAGCUUGCGUCUGAUUAGCUAGUUGGUGGGGUAAAAGCCUACCAAGGCCACGAUCAGUAGCUGGUCUGAGAGGAUGAUCAGCCACACUGGAACUGAGAGACGGUCCAG
rnacentral:rRNA from 1 species